GACCUUCUAACAAAUAGCUGCGCUUUAUUCUUUAAAAUCAAUUCCCAGUUUAUUUAAAAGGCAACUUCCCUUGCUUUAAGAUUACAGGUCACAACGGAUACUUCUCUCAUAUAAAUGAGUGCAGUCGGAUUAAAUUGUAAGUUCAGUGAUAAGGGGCCUCCUUUUCUAUGCAAAGUCCGAAGCCCCUAGCGACACCACUUGGUAGAGAAGUUUUAACACGGCAGGAUACCUCACACAUGUAGAUAGGAUGGAAACGAUCCUCUGGAUAAGUGACUUAAUUGGAAGAAAUGAUAAAGAAUUGAUAAAGAAAUGUCGAAUGUAUGAUUGACGAAUAUUAGAUCGAGUAAUUUACCAAAUGAAUUAUAUACAUUAUUGAUCUGCGUCACUA